rnacentral:rRNA from 1 species
GUAGUUAGCCGGGGCUUCCUCCAUGGGUACCGUCAUUUGUUUCUUCCCCAAGGACAGAAGUUUACGACCCGAAAGCCUUCUUCCUUCACGCGGCGUUGCUGCAUCAGGCUUUCGCCCAUUGUGCAAUAUUCCCCACUGCUGCCUCCCGUAGGAGUUUGGACCGUGUCUCAGUUCCAAUGUGGCCGAUCACCCUCUCAGGUCGGCUACUGAUCGUCGCCUUGGUGGGCCGUUACCCCGCCAACUAGCUAAUGGGACGCGAGCCCCUCUUCCUGCGGAUUUCUCCUUUGACCCCUCUGCCAUGCGACAAUGUGGUCUUAUGCGGUAUUAGCACCAGUUUCCCGGUGUUAUCCCCCUCAGAAAGUCAGGUUGCUCACGCGUUACUCACCCGUCCGCCACUAAGCUAAAUCCGAAAACUUAGCUCCGUUCGACUUGCAUGUGUUAGGCACGCCGCCAGCGUUCGUCCUGAGCCAGAAUCGAACCCUGA